UACAGAGGUCUCAAGCGUUUGUUCGGAUUCAUUGGGCGUAAAGGGUGCGUAGGCGGCGCGGUAAGUCGGGUGUGAAAUCUCGGAGCUUAACUCCGAAACUGCAUUCGAUACUGCCGUGCUUGAGGACUGGAGAGGAGACUGGAAUUUACGGUGUAGCGGUGAAAUGCGUAGAUAUCGUAAGGAAGACCAGUGGCGAAGGC
rnacentral:rRNA from 1 species